rnacentral:ncRNA from 1 species
CCUUGACAGUCACAUCCCGUGACUGACUCUAGCCACGACAAGGAGAUAACAUG